GAGUUUGAUCAUGGCUCAGAACGUACGCUGGCGGCACGCCUAACACAUGCAAGUCGAACGAAGUAGCAAUACUUAGUGGCAGACGGGUGAGUAACAUGUAGGUAUCUGCCCUUUGGCCUGGAAUAACACGAGGAAACUUGUGCUAAUACCGGAUAAGUCUUUACGGAGAAAGCUUUAUGCACCAUUGGAUGAGCCUGCACUUGAUUAGUUUGUUGGUGGGGUAAUGGCCUACCAAGACUGUGAUCAAUAGCUGAUUUGAGAGGAUGAUCAGCCACAUUGGGACUGAGACACGGCCCAAACUCCUACAGGAGGCAGCAGUGGGGAAUCUUGCACAAUGGAGGAAACUCUGAUGCAGCGAUGCCGCGUGAGUGAAGAAGGCCCUUGGGUUGUAAAGCUCUUUCGUCGGGGAAGAAAAUGACUGUACCCGAAUAAGAAGGUCCGGCUAACUUCGUGCCAGCAGCCGCGGUAAUACGAAGGGACCUAGCGUAGUUCGGAAUUACUGGGCUUAAAGAGUUCGUAGGUGGUUGAAAAAGUUAGUGGUGAAAUCCCAGAGCUUAACUCUGGAACUGCCAUUAAAACUUUUCAGCUAGAGUAUGAUAGAGGAAAGCAGAAUUUCUAGUGUAGAGGUGAAAUUCGUAGAUAUUAGAAAGAAUACCAAUUGCGAAGGCAGCUUUCUGGAUCAUUACUGACACUGAGGAACGAAAGCAUGGGUAGCGAAGAGGAUUAGAUACCCUCGUAGUCCAUGCCGUAAACGAUGUGUGUUAGACGUUGGAAAUUUAUUUUCAGUGUCGCAGGGAAACCGAUAAACACACCGCCUGGGGAGUACGACCGCAAGGUUAAAACUCAAAUGAAUUGACGGGACCCGCACAAGUAGUGGAGCAUGUGGUUUAAUUCGAAGAUACGCGCAGANCUUACCAACACUUGACAUGUUCGUCGCGACUCUAGAGAUUAGAGUUUUCGGUUCGGCCGGGA
rnacentral:rRNA from 1 species